AACAAAGUGAGAUCGUCGGGUAUACGUAACAAACAAAAUUAUUUUAUACCAUUUUAUACCAACAAGACCACAAAUAUAUGUAUCCUAACCGAAUAGUACGAAAAAGUAAAGGGGACCUACCAUAAACCGUAAUCUACCUCUUGGUCAUACUUAUUCGGACCCCUAAUAGGUUUGAAGAACCAUCAUGGAGAUUUAGCAUCUUUUACUUUACUGUCAAGACCCUUAAUUGCCAUCAAACAUCUUUCAAGUCGAAACUUUCCUUAGGGUUAUUGUUCAUUAAGG